GACGAACGCUGGCGGCGUGCCUAACACAUGCAAGUCGAACGGGGAUAUGAUUUCGGUUGUAUCCCAGUGGCGAACGGGUGAGUAACGCGUGAGCAACCUGUCCUUUUGAGGGGGAUAACACUUGGAAACAGGUGCUAAUACCGCAUAAGACCACGGGUCCGCAUGGACCAGAGGUCAAAGGAGCAAUCCGCAGAAGGAGGGGCUCGCGUCCCAUUAGGUAGAUGGCGGGGUAACGGCCCACCAUGCCUUCGAUGGGUAGCCGAGCUGAGAGGCUGAUCGGCCACACUGGAACUGAGACACGGUCCAGACUCCUACGGGAGGCAGCAGUGGGGAAUAUUGGGCAAUGGGCGAAAGCCUGACCCAGCAACGCCGCGUGAGGGAAGAAGGCCUCGGGUUGUAAACCUCUGUCCUUGGUGACGAAAAAAUAGACGGUAGCCAAGGAGGAAGCCCCGGCUAACUACGUG
rnacentral:rRNA from 1 species